rnacentral:rRNA from 1 species
UACGUAGGGUGCAAGCGUUGUCCGGAAUUAUUGGGCGUAAAGGGCUCGUAGGCGGUUUGUCGCGUCGGGAGUGAAAACUCAGGGCUUAACCCUGAGCCUGCUUCCGAUACGGGCAGACUAGAGGUAUGCAGGGGAGAACGGAAUUCCUGGUGUAGCGGUGAAAUGCGCAGAUAUCAGGAGGAACACCGAUGGCGAAGGCAGGUCUCGUGGGCCACUACUGACGCUGGAGAAGCGAAAGCAUGGGGAGCGAACAGG